rnacentral:rRNA from 1 species
GUGUCAGCCGCGGUGAGACGAACCGUGCGAACGUUAUUCGGAAUCAUUGGGCUUAAAGCGCGUGUAGGCGGGUUCGUGCGUCUGUCGCUGAAAUCCCCCGGCUCAACCGGGGAACGGGCGCGGAUACGACGAGCCUGGAGGGGCAUAGGGGGACCUGGAACUUCCGGUGGAGCGGUGAAAUGCGUUGAGAUCGGAAGGAACGCCCGUGGCGAAAGCGAGGUCCUGGAUGCCUACUGACGCUGAGACGCGAAAGCCAGGGGAGCGAACGGGAUUAGAUACCCCGGUAGUCCUGGCCGUAAACGAUGGGUACUGGAUAGGGGGCUCGCCGAUGGGCUCCCUGUCGUAGGGAAACCGUGAA